rnacentral:misc_RNA from 1 species
GCGAAAAUUGCUGAAUUUUUGAAGGUUUUCUUCUUAUUGGAAUUGUAUUCUUUGAGUUCUGUUGGACGACAUUGUCUUUUUUUGGAAAUAUUAUCAAUGCUUUGCCAUGUUCAGGUAGGCUGUAAUAACUUGAUUGUGAUUAAAAUUGAUUUCUUCGUCAACUGGCAAGUGGAACCAACCAAUUUUUUACUAAUUUAGUUAAACUGUUAAAGAGAAUGGGAAUAUAAUGAUAAAAGUCAUUAUAUUGUUCAAAUGUAUUCUCUCUCUCUCUCUCUCU